AUACGGAGGGUGCAAGCGUUAAUCGGAAUCACUGGGCGUAAAGCGUGCGUAGGCGGCCUGCCAAGUCAGGUGUGAAAGCCCUCGGCUCAACCGGGGAAUUGCACUUGAAACUGGUAGGCUGGAGUCUCGGAGAGGGUGGCGGAAUUCCCGGUGUAGGAGUGAAAUCCGUAGAUAUCGGGAGGAACACCAGUGGCGAAGGCGGCCACCUGGACGAUGACUGACGCUGAGGUACGAAAGCGUGGGGAGCAAACAGGAUUAGAUACCCUGGUAGUCCACGCUGUAAACGAUGGAUGUUAGGUGUCGGGUAGCAAUAUUCGGUGCCGUAGUUAACGCGUUAAACAUCCCGCCUGGGGAGUACGGUCGCAAGGCUGAA
rnacentral:rRNA from 1 species